AGUCCUGCUUUUCUCCUGAAGACUUGUCUUGACAAGGAAAUCAUUGAUGUCAAGGAAUAUUUAGUUUCUGGGGAUUUUUCCCCAGAAAAAAGAAUAAAAUUGAACAGCAGAAUACAAACAUGGAGUCCUAGAGCUAUUUGAGUAGGAUAAUUCAAAAGACUGACCAGAUUAUAAGAAAAUUAAUAAGAAAUGCCUUGAUGCACUACAUUAAAGAUAAAGGACGAACUAAAUUUUGCAGCUGAAAUCACAUUGCACCAAAUGAAAGGAUUGGAAGUUGGACAGGGGCUGAGAUGCAUAGAGAACAAGGCUUUACACACUACAGGAAAAGGCUUUCUGAAGUGCUCCUGCAAGAAGAAAAUCAUUUUAAGCAGUCUUCUCCUUCCCAUUUAGCUCCAUUCUCUUAAAUAAUUAUUUAUAGCUGUAUCCUGCUUCUUGGUUUAUCUCCAACAGCUUCUUCUCUUGGACCAAAAAGAUAUGUCAGCUUCAUUCUUCUGCCAAUAGCUCCUUCUUUCUUGGAAACCUAAGAGUUGUUCUGUACAAUUUCCAGCCAAACAGAUUCAGUGUACUUAUAUAUGUGUGGUUUGUGAAUGAAUGAACACGUGCAUUUGCAUUACUUUUAUGUAAUUUGAAACAAAUUACAUGAAGAAGGAAGGAAGGAAGAUUAUAGAAAUUUUAUUUAAAAAAAUCUUCCUACAAUAUUACCUACGUACUUUGACUGGCAGUACUAUUCAAAGAAAAUUCUUGCUUUUCUCCUGUUAUCUGACCCAGUUUGUAACCACAUUUCUGUUUGCUAGGAUGUUACUAUAUGGAAAACUUGCAGUCUGUCAUGAAUUAAAAACAUUAUUGGUUCAAACAAGUUAUGUAAGAACUGCUACCCAAUAAUAAUCUCUCAAAUGUAUGCAUUGUGUCUGAAUAUGUAACCAAAUCAAUUAGGCUUCUUGCAUUUAAAUGGUCAGGAUUAUUAUUUUUUUUAAUUAAACUCAAGAAAUGAUUCCACUAACAUGGUUAAAAAAACAUUUUCAGAUAUUGAAAAGCAUUACAUAGUAUCUUCAAAAAUUUGAAGAGUACCAAUGCUUUUGUCAUCUUCUAGUUAGUUUAAAAACCCAUUAGUAAGAUAGUUACAAAUGGAGAACUCCGGGUCAAAAAUAUUUAAAAUAGUGGAUUUUCGUCUAUUGACAAUCACUGACAAUUAGUUAGUAAGUUAUAAUGAAAUCUGCAGAAUGGUAUGUAAAUCUGGUCGUACAGUUCUUCCAAAAGCAUUUUAGUUUCGUUAACUGAAGAAAGACAGAUAUUUUGGGUGCAACAUUUGGGCAAAUCUAUUAUAAUUUCUAUGUUUGUUAUUCUACCCUUUUGCCUCCAUCCUCCAAGCACCCUGUUGAAACCUUAGUUGUCAGAAAUCUUACUGGUUUAAGUUAAGGAGCUUGAAGCUUAGGUGAGAAUGACUGGUUUUAAACCUACACAACAAAUGUUUUUAAUAUGGAUCUAGCAUGAUCUUAUGGGUGUGUUUAUAUAUGCAAGAGGAAAGAGACAGAGAAAACUACCAUGUGUGUAUGAAAGAAUUGUUUCCUCUGUUUUUCUGAACAGUGUCUCUCCUGUAAACUCCUUGAAAUCCUGUGUUUCUAUUGAGAUUUAAUUGAAGGAGGUUUAAUCGAGGUGAAGAUCUCAUGAGGGAAUGCUUUUCAAUGGGUUUUGGGUUUUUUGGCAAUGGUUUUUUGUCAUAACUAAAAGUGUUAUUGCUUAGAGAAAUUUUGAGAAAUUGUUCAUCUAAUUUCUUUUUCUGGUAAUUUGACAGGGAAUUUUAAAAGGCCAUUUGGGCUUAGGUCUAAUCAGCGUGAGAUUAAAAAGGAACACAGUACAUUUUAUGGUGACCUUCCUCCUGGAUUUUUAUUGGAUUGUUAUUAUCCAUCUGGUAAUUAGGAUUAUCAGCCAAUUUUCUCAUCUCCUGCUUCUACUGGCAAUUCUGAAGGUUGAGGGGGAAUGAAAGAAGAAUCAGUGUCAAAACAGCAAGGCUAAUGAAAGAAUCCUGCUGCUAAUUUCCUUUGAUUGCAAACUGCACAAUUGAAAGUAAUCAGCAUUGUCACAGAAGAAGGUCACAAAGAUCUACUUAAUAAGAUAUUAAAAGAUGAAAGAACGGAUCUUGAAGGAUGGCAUUUUUGUUAAUAAAAGACUGUGCAAUGAAAUGACCAGACUGUAACACCACCAGCAGCAAAACAAUCAGGUUAUAUGAAAAAAUUAGUAGUGAUCAAACACAAUAGACUACUGGAUUUCUCAUUUGUGUGAAACCGAGUUUGAGGAGAAUGAACCGAUCACUAGAGUACCAUACUUCAACACUGUCAAUUAACCAAUCUUCACUGAGACUUUUUUAGCAUUAUACUGUAUAUGGCCUCAUAUGGGCACUGUAAAAAUACAAGAUGUGUUAUCAGUGAUAAACAGAUAUUAAUGACCUUGAACAUAUCAAAUCCUUGAUUAAAUGUAUGUUCCUCCUGCAUUACAGCAGCUUUGGCAGCCUGAACAUAUACUUUGUUUGAGUUACAUCAAACACUAAACAUUCAGGGAUUUAUAUUACUUUAAUCCACUGCAGGCAGUGCUUCAUUUAAUUUUAUUGGCUGUGCUGGAGGUAGUGGAUCUAUUUGGGGGGCGGGGGGGGGGGAAAGCUCUUUUACGUAUCUUUUCAAAAGGGCUUAAUUAUAUUUUAUAGCCUAGGCCAGGAGCCCUGCUUGUUUUCUGUCUAACAAGGUUCAAAUGGAGUUCAGACAAGCGAUGAAUCAGAAGCAAAGUCAGAGAUGGUUAUCUUUAUGAAAUGAGCUCAUCUCCAUUUAGGAAAGGAGCAGGUACAUCAUGGUCA